AAUAGAUACCCAGGUAGUCCAUGCCGUAAACGUUGGGCGCUAGAUGUGGGGACCAUUCCACGGUUUCCGCGUCGUAGCUAACGCAUUAAGCGCCCCGCCUGGGGAGUACGGCCGCAAGGCUAAAACUCAAAGGAAUUGACGGGGGCCCGCACAAGCGGCGGAGCAUGCGGAUUAAUUCGAUGCAACGCGAAGAACCUUACCAAGGCUUGACAUAUGCGAGAACGCUCUAGAAAUAGAGAACUCUUUGGACACUCGUAUACAGGUGGUGCAUGGUUGUCGUCAGCUCGUGUCGUGAGAUGUUGGGUUAAGUCCCGCAACGAGCGCAACCCUCGUCGCAUGUUGCCAGCACGUAAUGGUGGGAACUCAUGUGAGACUGCCGGGGUCAACUCGGAGGAAGGUGGGGAUGACGUCAAAUCAUCAUGCCCCUUAUGUCUUGGGCUUCACGCAUGCUACAAUGGCCGGUACAAAGGGCUGCGAAACCGCAAGGUGGAGCGAAUCCCAAAAAGCCGGUCUCAGUUCGGAUUG
rnacentral:rRNA from 1 species